CGAAUUCGCCCUUAGAGUUUGAUCCUGGCUCAGAUUGAACGCUGGCGGCAUGCCUAACACAUGCAAGUCGAACGGAAACGAUGGAAGCUUGCUUCCAGGCGUCGAGUGGCGGACGGGUGAGUAAUACUUAGGAAUCUGCCCAGUAGUGGGGGACAACUCGAGGAAACUCGAGCUAAUACCGCAUACGCCCUACGGGGGAAAGCGGAGGACUCUUCGGAGCUUCGCGCUAUUGGAUGAGCCUAAGUCGGAUUAGCUUGUUGGUGAGGUAAAAGCUCACCAAGGCGACGAUCCGUAGCUGGUCUGAGAGGACGAUCAGCCACACUGGGACUGAGACACGGCCCAGACUCCUACGGGAGGCAGCAGUGGGGAAUAUUGGACAAUGGGGGAAACCCUGAUCCAGCAAUGCCGCGUGUGUGAAGAAGGCCUGCGGGUUGUAAAGCACUUUCAGUAGAGAAGAAAAGCUCAGGGAUAAUACCCCUGAGUCUUGACGUAACCUACAGAAGAAGCUCCGGCUAACUCCGUGCCAGCAGCCGCGGUAAUACGGGGGGAGCGAGCGUUAAUCGGAAUUACUGGGCGUAAAGCGCGCGUAGGCGGCUUUGUAAGUCGGAUGUGAAAGCCCUGGGCUCAACCCAGGAAUUGCAUUCGAUACUGCAUGGCUAGAGUAUGGUAGAGGGAAGUGGAAUUUCCGGUGUAGCGGUGAAAUGCGUAGAUAUC
rnacentral:rRNA from 1 species